GUAUUGUAUUGCGUUAAACGCGACAUGCAUUCCAUGAGACUUUGUUACGGCGUGUGUGUAAAGAUGCAGAACCACAGCAGGAGGACAGGCCCCCUGACCAUAGAACUACAGAGGGUGCACAGGGUGUGAGUGGAUGUGUGAACAGAGCGUGCACAUGCCCCCGUUCGAGGACCAGCAACAACUCUUGUUGACAAUUCGGUAAUGAUCCUUCCGCAGGUUCACCUACGGAAA
rnacentral:misc_RNA from 1 species